AAAAAAGACAGUUGUUUUUAAUUGGUCUCCGACAAAGGGGCGGGGCCUCGAGCGGUGUCGGCGUUUGAUGACGUCCCUGAUCGGCGCUGGACUUGUCUCGUGGAUUGUGGACCAGACAGAAACAUGACCUCAGCCCUGGAGAACUACAUCAACCGUAUCCUUACUGGGGGGGUCUCAUGGGGGGGAGAGGAGCUGCUAGGACCCCUAUUACUUAAUUCUGAUUAAUUACAAUAAAUAUAAUCACCCCCCUGCCCCCCCAUUAAUAUAUUAAUAUACAGAAUUUAUUUAACAGUCUGUGUUUUAAUAUACAGAAUUUAUUUAAUAGUCUGUGUUUAAUAUACAGAAUUUAUUUAAUAGUCUGUGUUUAAUAUACAGAAUUUAUUUAAUAGUCUGUGGUUAAUAUACAGAAUUUAUUUAAUAGUCUGUGGUUAAUAUACAGCAUUUAUUUAAUAGUUGGUGUUUCUCCUUUAAACAGCAGCCCUGAUAUCCUUGAUAUAACCCAUAACAUACUUAUCUAGUUGUUUUUUUUUUUUUUUUAAAUCCUGAACUAUAGAUGUGUCCAGGGAAACCCUAAUAAAGGGCUAAUUUGUCCCCACUGCACUCCAUUCAGAUCACUUUUUAUAGUUGCUCAUUAGCUGGUGAAAGAAAGAUGGAAUAACUAUUAAUGUAUGUACCUGGGUACCAUUUAGCAAAAUGCUGCUGUUUUGUGCCUUAAUUUAUUUUCUUUUUUUGAAUGUAAAAGGUACAAGAUGUCACACAGCAGUGCAGAUAAUGAUCCAAAAAGUGUGAAAACAAACAGGCAUACAAUAUUAGAACUCAGAGAAUUACAGUAACAUUGUACAGUGUUUGAAGGUAGAGAUGGAGAGGUAGUAUGCAAAGCUUCAUAUAUAGAUAGUAACCAUGCACUGUGGUCUUUCUGCCUUCAUUUUAUGUGUUAUAUGAUAUAUAAAUAAUAGGAAAAUAAGUGUUUUCUGAUAAAAGAUUCCCUUGCAAGCUCCAGGUGAUUUGGUAGGCACGGGUCGUAAGCUUAUCACGUUUGAUGAUGUCCGUUAACCAAAAGUAUUGUUUUAAUGGGCAUACUUAAAUUCUUCUUAUAGGUCAGUAUGCUAUCUAUGAUGCGGUUUUUGUAUAGCUUUGCUCCCGUAAUAGUAAGACUUCCUUGACAGAUGAUUCAGGAACGGUUGCGGUCAUUACGGCAGAUGGAAGAAUGAUUGUGGUAUGAUACAUAUAGUUAUUUUGUUAAUCCAAUUUUUUUUGUUUAGUUUGCACACUAAUGACCACAUGUUAAUGUGCUGCUAUCUCUUUAACAUUUAAUCUGUGUUGCUGAUGGAUCAGACCUGUCAGUUUUCAGUCUUUUUUUUUUUUUAGCAAUGGGAGGCAGACCAAUCACAAGGUGUCAAUAUUUAUGUAAUCUUUAAAAGAACACUUCUUGUGUAAUUGUUUACAAUUAUUAUUAUUUUUUUAAACUUACAUGACCUGCUAAGCUCUCUGGACAUUGUCAUGUGAAUUAAAAUGAACCUUGCAGUAUGUUUCCUAUCAAUUUCAACACAUACCCAAAGCAUUAAGGGUGCAAAUUCUCCCUUAACACUAACGUGAAGUAGAGGUAAGUUUGUUUAUUUACCUCUACUGCAUUAGUCACUGAGCAGACCCUUCAAAAGUAUUUAUUGGAACAAGGAACAGUCACUUGUAGAAAAGUGAUGCUUCCACUUAAAGGGGCAAUAUAGUGACCAGAACAACUACAGCUUAUUGAAUUUGUUCUGGUGAGUAGAAUCCUUACCUUCAGGCUUUUUGCUGUAAACCAUGUCUUUUCAGAGAAAAUGCAGUGUUUACAUUACAGCCUAGUGAUAACUUCACUGGCCACUCCUCAGAUGGCUGUUAGAGAUCCUUUCUGGGUCAUGGCUGCCUAAAAUGCAUCCAAACAUUUAGUAUCUCCUCCCUCUGCAUGCAGACACUGAACUUUCCUCAUAGAGAUUAAUUGAUUCAAUUCAUCUCUAUGAGGAGAUUCUGAUUGGCCAGGGCUGUGUUUGAAUCGUGCUGGCUCUGCCCCUGAUCUGCCUUUUUUGUCAGUCUCAGCCAAUCCUAUGGGGAAGCACUGUGUUUGGAUCAGGCUACCACUUCUGAUGAUGUCAGCAGACUGCUUGUUUUUCUGAGUCAAACUGCAUGCAGAGUUACAGCUUCAGGCUUGAAUACAGUAAGAUUUUGCUAUAUUUAUGGAGGCAUGGGGGGCUAGAUGGUGGUUUUAACACUAGGGUCAGGAAUACAUGUUUGUGUUCCUGACCCUAUACUGAUCCUUUAAACAGUUGUUUUGAAUCUUACAUCUCUUUAUAUAAAAAUGUUUAAUGGAACCACACCCUUAGUAGAAAGCACAGCUAUUAAGUGCCAUUAUUUGGAAACAGAAUCAUAAACAAUGGGAUUGUUCCAGUUGUCUUUUUAAAUGGUGUUUGAACAUGUCUUUUGUCGUGCCAAGAUCUCUUCAUGCUUACAUAUAUUCUGCUUUUGGACAACCAGCCUUUGAUUUUGAAUAUGUGACACCCUUAGAAAUGUAGAGGUAACUGCAGUAAUAUAAACUGAUAUUUACAUUGUUUUCUAAGACAUAUGUUUGUGUGUUUAUUUCAGGGAACUCUCAAAGGCUUUGAUCAGACGAUUAACUUGAUUUUGGAUGAAAGUCAUGAAAGAGUAUUUAGUUCUAACCAAGGAGUGGAACAAGUUGUGCUGGGACUGUACAUUGUAAGGGGAGACAAUGUGUGAGUAUUCUUACCCAUCAAAAUGACUUCUGUUAGAAAUGGAUGCCUUGCUGACUGGCGGAUGCUGUGCUUUGAAGUUAUUUGAACAGUGGCCUCCUUAUCUCUUCUGUUCAGCAUAAUUAGUUUGUUUACCAUUUAUUUGUUGGUUUUAAUUAUUUAUUUAUAAAAUAUUUUACCAGGAAAGAUACAUUGAGAUUUCUCUCGUUUUCAAGUAUAUCCUGGGUCCACAAACCAUUGCAUUGAUACAUUGUGGUACAAUAAAAUACAAAAAAAAUAUUAAUACACAAUAUAUAUAAAAUUUAACAUAGAACAGGUAGGAAAUAUAUAAUCAACCAUAACAGAUGCAUUCUGUUUUGAGAUAUGUAGAGAGGGAUCUCUUAAAGGACUUUAGGCUUUACCUUUAUUUAUAAAGCCCCAAUUUAUUUCACAUAUUUCCCACUGCAAUUAUGUGAAAUAAAUUGGGGCUUUAUAAAUAAAGGUAAUAAUAAAAGUAACUAUUCUAUGCAGUAUUGCAGUUCAUGUAGAAAUACUAUUCUGUAUCCAAUCUUGUUCACAUUUGUUUCAUGUUAUUGUUUUAAAGGAACACACCGAAUCCUUAACUCAUUUCAGCUUGCUGAAGUACUUUAUGGCUUUUAAUAGAAUGCCCCUUAAAAGUCCCCCUCACCCCCCCUUUUUUAAAAUUUAUUAUAAAUUCUUGAUUUUUGCAGUGCAACAGUAAAUGUAAAGAGUAAUAUAGACAACGAACAAUGCUUAUUCAACUACGUCCUGCACUAUUUUUGUGUUAUAAGACAUAUGUAGUAAACAAAAUAGAUGACCUGUCCGAUGGCAUAGUGAGUAGGAAACAUCAACUUUAUAGAAACGCUUGUCAAGGACAUUGUGAAAGUUACUGCAAAAUAUAAUACACCAAAAUUUGCCGCUGGAGAUAUAGAGAUAUGUGGCUCAACAGGCUAUUGAAAAUGACAACGGUAUAGAGUCUUCCAGGCACCCCUCCCAACCACCCUGAUGAGUCACGGUGUAACUUAAGUUGCACAAGUGAAGGCAAAAGGAGCCAAAAUAAUACACAAGAAAUUAUAAGAAAAACAGAGCUCUACGGGAAGAUUCAUAGGUGACAUACCAUUAGCUGCAUAUAUAUUGCAGCAAAAUAUAAAAGAAACUGCACUCGUUGAAAUGAGCCAAAGGGGGUGCUACCAGGCCAGGAGCUAGCACAAUCCUGAAACAGUAGAUUUCAAGUGGAAAAAGAAAGGCCCAGGCACUCAUGCUCAAAAGUUAAUAUUUAUUUGGAAGACAGUAUCCAGCAAUGCUUUGACUCAAAUGGGUCUUUGUCACAUUAGCUGCAAGCUUGACUGCAAGAGGUCUAGUUCCGGUUCAGCCUAUUCACUUCUGGGUCAAAACAAAUUCCUGCUCUCGCUGGCUUGUCUUUGGGGAGAGUAUCCCUAGUGGUGGCAGCCCGCUUGGGUGUGGAGGUGGACCCAAUGAGAAAGUAGACAUCUAUCCCAGUGGCUUAGCUGUUUGGGUAGGUACUGGAUGCUGCUCCUGUAAACAAAGGCCUGUUAGUUUGCAGCGCCCAACUUCACUGUGAUGAUCUGGGUGUCUUCACCUUAACCAGUACGUUCUGCCUCUAAGUAUUUCACUUCUCUCGAGUGUCUCAUUGCAGACUCCUGGGUGUGUGGACGGUCAGCCCCUGCACAGCCCAUCUCUUCAGUCGCUUGGUUACCUUCCUCCUGAAUUGUUCGUAAAGAGUGCAUCAAACUUGGUGAAGAUAUGUUUGCUCACUACAUGAGCCUAGCAAACUCAAGGCAUCUGCCGUUUUUGGUAGCACGCUGUGGUUUCCGAGUUCUCAGAUAUCACCAAACAGGCAUUGAGAGCAUGGGACCUCCAGGGUGAGGACCGGGAUCACCCCUACCACACCAGCAAAAUAGACAUAAAUGCCGCUGUCAGCCAUUGCACAGUGGUCUAGCUGAAUUUCUGACAGAAUAAAAGUGCCCCAAUAGGGAAUCAAGGAGUUAAUAAUUAGGAAACCGUUUAGGGGCUCUCGCUUAGAGAAUCCAAUCCAGCCAGCAAGGCGGUCAAGCCCUGCCCUGCACCUGAUGUUUUAUAAAGCUCUCCAAGCUAUGAAUAAAACAGCCAGGAGGGUACACUUACAAUGAUUGCUUUAUGUCCCUGCUCAAAUCAGAGCAAAUAUUUUUAAAUAUUCAACAAUAAACGUUUUCUGCAUCUAAAAGUGUCCGUAAAGGCAUUUAAUAUGGUUUUAUAUUGUCUAGCACUUUAACACUUUUUUUUUUUUCUCCUUGUUUACAGGGCAGUUAUUGGAGAAAUUGAUGAAGAGACAGACUCUGCAUUGGAUUUGGGGAACAUCCGAGCAGAACCUCUAAAUUCUGUUGUAAAUUGAAGAGAAUUGGGUGGGAUGGUGUAUAAACCUUGAGCUAUAUAUUACUUGAUGCAAUAUUUUUUACAAAUGUUUAUGAAUUGGAAAUCCUUACCCUAUUUACAUGUUUUAUUGUGAAUGUGUUCUAGUUUGAUAUGUAAAUUAAAGUGUUUCUACGUUUUUGUUUUAAGGCUGUUUUGUUCAUUUUACUCCAGUAAUAUGUAAUUACCUUUGCUCCUCUCGUGGUAUUUUUAUACAAUGGAAUGAAUC